AGAUAGUAUGAAGGACCUGAUUAGUAUAGUUGUUUUGUUCAACUAUCCGAUCUAGGUCUCUGUUGACAGGGGCUGAUAGGGGUCUAUCGUGCUUCUUCUUGAAGGGAGAAGCAUUGAGAAUUUCAUUGGAAUGGGGAAUUUUUAUUCCUUCAAGGGGAGGAGUAACUGAUUCAAUUACUUUGUUACUCUGAGUAUACCAUUUAUUAAUGAUAACUU
rnacentral:lncRNA from 1 species